CGUUCGCCUUGGUGACUCUGGAUAACUUUGCGGAUCGCACGGUCUAGCACCGGCGACGGAUCAUUCAAGUGUCUGCCCUAUCAACUUUCGUCGGUACGGUAUUUGCCUACCGAGGUUCUUACGGGUGACGGGGAAUCAGGGUUCGAUUCCGGAGAGGGAGCCUGAGAAACGGCUACCACAUCCAAGGAAGGCAGCAGGCGCGCAAAUUACCCAUUCCCGACGCGGGGAGGUAGUGACGAAAAAUAACAAUGCAGGACUCGUUCGAGGCCCUGUAAUUGGAAUGAGUACACUUUAAAAGCUUUAACGAGUAUCCAUUGGAGGGCAAGUCUGGUGCCAGCAGCCGCGGUAAUUCCAGCUCCAAAAGUAUAUAUUUAAGUUGUUGCGGUUAAAAAGCUCGUAGUUGGAUUUUGGGCGCAGGCGGCCGGUCCGUCGCAAGGCGUGUACUGGACGUCCUGGCCUUCCCUCCGGUUCUCCGCCGGUGCUCUUGACUGAGUGUCGGCGGCGGCCGGAACGUUUACUUUGAAAAAAUUAGAGUGUUCAAAGCAGGCUCUCGAGCCUGGAUAAUGGUGCAUGGAAUAAUGGAAUAGGACCUCGGUUCUAUUUUGUUGGUUUUCGGAGCGCGUGGUAAUGAUUAAGAGGGACAGACGGGGGCAUUCGUACUGUGCCGUUAGAGGUGAAAUUCUUGGAUCGGCGCAAGACGAACGACUGCGAAAGCAUUUGCCAAGAAUGUUUUCUUUAAUCAAGAGCGAAAGUCAGAGGUUCGAAGACGAUCAGAUACCGUCCUAGUUCUGACUAUAAACGAUGCCAACUAGCGAU
rnacentral:ncRNA from 1 species